AACGAACGCUGGCGGCAGGCUUAACACAUGCAAGUCGAACGAGCUGGGGGUUUCGGUCUCCGAUGCUCGUGGCGCACGGGUGAGUAAAACGUGGGAGUAUGCCCUCUAGUACGGAAUAACAAAGGGAAACUUUGGCUACUAACGUAUACGACCUUCGGGGGCAAGAUUUAUCGCUAAGGAAUUAGGCCGCGUCUGAUUAGGUAGUUGGUGAGGUUCUGGCUCACCAUGGGGUCGAUCAGUAGCUGGUCUGUGAGGAUGAUCAGCCACGCUUGGACUGAGACACGGCCUAGACUCCGACGGAAGGCAGCAGAAGAGAAUAUUGGGCGAUGAAGCCAACUGUGAUCCAGCCGCGCGGCGUAAGUGGAGAAGGCGGUCGGAAACUAAAUCUGUUUGUGCGGAGGCGAGAGUGACGGUACCCGGAUAAGAAGCCCCGGCUAACUACGUG
rnacentral:rRNA from 1 species